AUGAUUAGAUAUAAUUUGAGGAAAAGACACAUUAUAAAACCUCUUGACUGUGUCUCUUGCUCUGAUGACGAGACUAACUUUCAUUUGUUUUUUGACUGCACAGUAGCAAAAAACAUCUGGUCUUUCAUUGGUGAUCACUUUAAGAUUCAUACAGGAGCAAACUUCGAAUCUGUUGCUAGAUUUUGGGUCUCUAAUAAGAAGAAUUUGGCUUUGACUACCAUUAGCUCUGCUAUCCUAUGGUGUUUGUGAAAAUAUAGGAACUCUAUGAUUUUUAACAACACUAUUUGGACUUCUAUUACCCAGGUGUGGAGGCUGAUCCUCAGAACUCUCAAGUUCUGGAUGAUCCUGUUCCUGGAGAGUAGCAAGGCGAGAUUGGAGGAAUUCCUGAUAGCGUUAGCAGCCUUCUUUUGGCAACCGCUGCGGAUAACGAGUGGCUGA
rnacentral:rRNA from 1 species